GGUGGUGCAUGGUUGUCGUCAGCUCGUGUCGUGAGAUGUUGGGUUAAGUCCCGCAACGAGCGCAACCCUUAAGCUUAGUUGCCAGCAUUCAGUUGGGCACUCUAAGGUGACUGCCGGUGACAAACCGGAGGAAGGUGGGGAUGACGUCAAAUCAUCAUGCCCCUUAUGACCUGGGCUACACACGUGCUACAAUGGACGGUACAAACGGUUGCCAACCCGCGAGGGGGAGCUAANCCGAUAAAACCGUUCUCAGUUCGGAUUGUAGGCUGCAACUCGCCUACAUGAAGCCGGAAUCGCUAGUAAUCGUGGAUCAGCAUGCCACGGUGAAUACGUUCCCGGGUCUUGUACACACC
rnacentral:rRNA from 1 species